rnacentral:rRNA from 1 species
AAACCGUUCGGGGGUAAACGGACAGAGCCCGUGAAUCCGGGCGACGGAAUUCAGAUCCGGUGACGUUCGCGCGUCGCCGGUUCGAUAUUUCCGCCGCCGCCAAUUCUACGGACGUCGCGACCCGUUCGGUGUCGGUCUGCAGGAGACGUGCGAAAGUUCGUGGUCGUCGAUCGGGUUUCGGCUCGGUCGGCGCUCGCGAGUGCGCGUUUUUUUUCUAGCCGACUCGCCGGACGGUAAGCGAAGCGGUGGUCGCGGCGGCCUUUCGUUAGCGCCGUCGCGUUACCGGUCUGCGACGAAUCUUCGGGCCUCUUUCCGA